GGUGGCUCAGUGGAAGAGUACUUGCCUUGCAUGCAUGAAGCCCUGGGUUUGAUUCCCCAGCACCA
rnacentral:tRNA from 1 species